rnacentral:rRNA from 1 species
CUGAUGCAGCCAUGCCGCGUGUGUGAUGAAGGUCUUCGGAUUGUAAAGCUCUUUUGUUGGGAAGAAGGGCAGUUGAUUAAUACUUUGCUGUUUUGACGUUACCGACACAAUACGCCCCGGCUAACUCUAUGCCAGCAGCCGCGGUAAUA